GGAGACGCACGGGCAGGCUGGCGGGGUAAGCCGUAGGGGGGGAGCGUGAAUCGGAAGUGAUGGGCGUAAAGCGUGCGGAGGCGGGUGGGUAAGGCAGAUGUGAAAGCCCCGGGCUCAACCUGGGAACUGCAUUUGAGACUGCCAGGCUGGAGUGUGGCAGAGGGGGGUGGAAUUCCACGUGUAGCAGUGAAAUGCGUAGAGAUGUGGAGGAACACCGAUGGCGAAGGCAGCCCCCUGGGUCACUACUGACGCUCAUGCACGAAAGCGUGGGGAGCAAACAGGAUUAGAUACCCUGUAGUC
rnacentral:rRNA from 1 species